rnacentral:sRNA from 1 species
UGCUUGUGUUUUUCCUCCAUCUUCUCCAUC